CCCGCUGAACUUAAGCAUAUCAUUAAGCGGAGGAAAAGAAACUAACAAGGAUGCCCUUAGUAACGGCGAGUGAAGCGGGCAAAGCUCAACUUGAAAAUCGGGGCCCCUUUGGGGUUUCGAAUUGUAGUCUAGAGACGCGCCAUCAGCAAGUGACCCUGGUAUAAAUCUUUUGAAACAAGGUAUCAUAGAGGGUGAGAAUCCCGUCUUUGACUAGGAGAUCACUGCGUACGAUGCGUGUUCGUAGAGUCGGGUUGCUUGGGAUUGCAGCUCAAAAUGGGUGGUAAAUUUCAUCUAAAGCUAAAUAUCGACGAGAGACCGAUAGCAAACAAGUACCGUCAGGGAAAGAUGAAAAGAACUUUGAAAAGAGAGUUAAAAAGUACUUGAAAUUGUUAAGAGGGAAGCACUGGAAACCAGUCGUGCUCUGUGCCAUAUUUAUCGUCGCCUGGCAAAGGGAGUUUGUUCGGCGAUCGCAAGACGCCGUGUGGGCUUCGGAUGUUGGGUGGCGAGUUCUGUGGUAUGGGGUGAGUCAGAAUGAAUUCGCUGCGCGGGAGAAAGCUAGCUUGGACGGUAGGACGGAGGGGGCAACUCCAAAGUCUGAAGCCGGUUAGUGCUACCGUGUGGCGGAUUGAGGGCUGGAAAUACGCACCACUAGGCUUCGGUUCCUGGUUCCUGGCGUGUGCGUCUGCUUUGGACAACAAAGUUGUGCGGGUGGGCGUGCGUGUCACUGGGCUGGGCCAACCAGAUGCAGUAUUCGAGAUUCUGACGAAAUGGUUUUCAUUGACCCGUCUUGAAACACGG
rnacentral:rRNA from 1 species